AGAGUUUGAUCCUGGCUCAGGACGAACGCUGGCGGCGUGCUUAACACAUGCAAGUCGAGCGAGAGCCUGGGGGCUUGCCCCCAGGGGACAGCGGCGAACGGGUGCGUAACACGUGGGCAACCUGCCCCUCUCUCUGGGAUAACCCCGGGAAACCGGAGCUAAUACCGGAUACUCCGGCUGGAUCGCAUGGUCCGGCUGGGAAAGGUCCGCCGGAGAGGGAUGGGCCCGCGGCCUAUCAGCUUGUUGGUGGGGUCAUGGCUCACCAAGGCGACGACGGGUAGCUGGUCUGAGAGGACGACCAGCCACACUGGAACUGAGAUACGGUCCAGACUCCUACGGGAGGCAGCAGUGGGGAAUAUUGCGCAAUGGGCGAAAGCCUGACGCAGCGACGCCGCGUGGGGGAAGACGGCCUUCGGGUUGUAAACCCCUUUCAGUUGGGACGAAGCUUCGCCGGUGAAUAGCCGGCUGGAGUGACGGUACCUUCACAAGAAGCCCCGGCUAACUACGUGCCAGCAGCGGCGGUAAUUC
rnacentral:rRNA from 1 species